GUGGUUAGCUUAGUCGAUAGGGCGCUCCACUGAAAAUAGAAAAUUUCCUGGUUCGAUACCAGGACCAGACG
rnacentral:tRNA from 1 species